CAGUCGCCGCGGUAAUACGGAGGAUCCAAGCGUUAUCCGGAAUUAUUGGGUUUAAAGGGUCCGUAGGCGGUCUUGUAAGUCAGUGGUGAAAGCCCAUCGCUCAACGGUGGAACGGCCAUUGAUACUGCAGGACUUGAAUUAUUGGGAAGUAACUAGAAUAUGUAGUGUAGCGGUGAAAUGCUUAGAGAUUACAUGGAAUACCAAUUGCGAAGGCAGGUUACUACCAAUUGAUUGACGCUGAUGGACGAAAGCGUGGGUAGCGAACAGGAUUAGAUACCCGUGUAGUCCCUGUCUCUUAUAU
rnacentral:rRNA from 1 species